GUCAACAGUGGAAGCGAGAAGACUGACACAACAGCAGACUGAGUGUUUUUCAGUUCUGAUUAGACACUAGUGUUGAGAUGUCUGUCUGUCAUGAUAGCAUGUACUGAGUCGGGGCCAGUACCAGAUAAGCACAUUAAACUAUAAUCCAUAAACAUAAGGUAACAACCGAGACCUAAUGGUGCUGUGACAGCAACGCGAUUGAGUUUGAGACAGUGAAAAUACAUAUGGUAUGUUGUAUCUGGACAGG